rnacentral:rRNA from 1 species
GAUGAACGCUGGCGGCGUGCCUAAUACAUGCAAGUAGAACGCUGAAGCUUGGUGCUUGCACCGAGCGGAUGAGUUGCGAACGGGUGAGUAACGCGUAGGUAACCUGCCUCUUAGCGGGGGAUAACUAUUGGAAACGAUAGCUAAUACCGCAUAAAAGUCGAUAUCGCAUGAUAUUGAUUUGAAAGGUGCAAUUGCAUCACUAAGAGAUGGACCUGCGUUGUAUUAGCUAGUUGGUGAGGUAACGGCUCACCAAGGCGACGAUACAUAGCCGACCUGAGAGGGUGAUCGGCCACACUGGGACUGAGACACGGCCCAGACUCCUACGGGAGGCAGCAGUAGGGAAUCUUCGGCAAUGGGGGCAACCCUGACCGAGCAACGCCGCGUGAGUGAAGAAGGUUUUCGGUUCGUAAAGCUCUGUUGUAAGAGAAGAACGAGUGUGAGAGUGGAAAGUUCACACUGUGACGGAACUACCAGAAAGGACG